UAGUACGAGAGGACCGGAGUGGACGAACCUCUGGUGUUCGGGUUGUGUCGCCAGACGCAUUGCCCGGUAGCUAAGUUCGGAAUCGAUAACCGCUGAAAGCAUCUAAGCGGGAAGCGAGCCUCAAGAUGAGUCAUCCCUGAUACUUUAAGUAUCCUAAAGGGUUGUUGGAGACUACGACGUAGAUAGGCAGGGUGUGUAAGCGCUGUGAGGCGUUGAGCUAACCUGUACUAAUUGCCCGUGAGGCUUAACCAUACAACACCCAAGGGGUUU
rnacentral:rRNA from 1 species